AUACGUAGGGGGCUAGCGUUAUCCGGAAUGACUGGGCGUAAAGGGCGCGUAGGUGGCCUUUCAAGUCUGGAGUGAAAGUCCCGCUUUCAAGGUGGGAAUGGCUUUGGAAACUGAGAGGCUUGAGUGUGGGAGAGGAUAGCGGAAUUCCCGGUGUAGCGGUGAAAUGCGUAGAGAUCGGGAGGAACACCAGUGGCGAAGGCGGCUAUCUGGACCAAGACUGACACUGAAGCGCGAAAGCGUGGGUAGC
rnacentral:rRNA from 1 species